GAUGAACGCUGGCGGCGUGCCUAAUACAUGCAAGUCGAGCGAACAGAUAAGGAGCUUGCUCCUUUGACGUUAGCGGCGGACGGGUGAGUAACACGUGGGUAACCUACCUAUAAGACUGGAAUAACUCCGGGAAACCGGGGCUAAUGCCGGAUAACAUUUAGAACCGCAUGGUUCUAAAGUGAAAGAUGGUUUUGCUAUCACUUAUAGAUGGACCCGCGCCGUAUUAGCUAGUUGGUAAGGUAACGGCUUACCAAGGCAACGAUACGUAGCCGACCUGAGAGGGUGAUCGGCCACACUGGAACUGAGACACGGUCCAGACUCCUACGGGAGGCAGCAGUAGGGAAUCUUCCGCAAUGGGCGAAAGCCUGACGGAGCAACGCCGCGUGAGUGAUGAAGGUCUUCGGAUCGUAAAACUCUGUUAUUAGGGAAGAACAAAUGUGUAAGUAACUGUGCACGUCUGGACGGUACCUAAUCAGAAAGCCACGGCUAACUACGU
rnacentral:rRNA from 1 species